CCCAUUGAUCAAAGUCCCAUAACUAACUUUGUUCAAAUGAAAUCCAAGCGCAACCACCUUAUCAUGAAACUGCAAGGCUUGAUGAAUCUGACCUUUGAGACACAGACCCUUAAUGAGUGUAGUUAAAGUUAUGACAUUUGGCUCAUAACCCAUCUUAAGAAUCUUAGCCAAAACAGAAAAAGAAAGAGGGUUUUGACCCAAUUGAGAAAAACAAUUAAUCAAGAUGCUCAAAAUGACCAAGUCUGAAGUAAUUCCGUUGAAUUCCAUUUGUCGAUGAAGUGAAACAACGGUGGAGUAAUGAUUGGACUUGACAAGGGAACCUAAAAUCUUACCAAAUUGAAAGAUGGAUGGUUUAGGAUUCUUUUGAUGGAGCAAUCGAUUGAAUGAGGAAACAAGAUUGUGUUUGUUGUCAUCAUUUUCAUGGAAUUGAGAGUAUAGCCUUGUUGAGCUUGAAGAAGAAAAGGGUAAUAAACGAAUCAGAAAAUUAGGGUUUGGAAGUUGAAAAUUGGGGAUGAAUAUAGAGACUGAAUAAACAGAUCUCAAAUUUGAAAGCAACAUUGUGGUUUGGUUUGCGUAGAUAACAGUGUUGAGGUUAAUUCUUUGUUUGAAAGAUAUAUACAUAUGGUAUCGGUGGUUAUUUCAUUUCAUUUCAGAUCUCAGAA
rnacentral:lncRNA from 1 species